UUUGGUUUGGACAUGAAGUAGUUCUAAAUGCUUACAUGCUUUUGAAGCUAAAAAGCUAAACUGGAAACAAAUCCCGAGUUUCAAAAAUUCCUUAGCUCAGACCCAUUCAAGCAUGGCCAUUCGAAGUCGAGGCUGAUGACGUGUGCGCGCCAUGCGGGAAAUUUGAUACGAAAAAGCACGUGUGACACUACAGCCAUGAUGUGCGGGAGCGAUAUGAAUGUGAUGCAACUCCAACUACAACUACAGAUGUCUGUCUUUUUGAUGAGACAACUAAUCAGGGCUUUCCCUCAGUGCUUCACAGCACUGACUGCUGCUCAGCAACAGGAAUCCGACAUGGAUCCUCUGUGAUUCCAGGAUACUGCUUGCCAAGCGGACACUGUUGAUGAGAAGCCAAGCCCUACCCUAAAAACUAGUAAGUGUGUUUCUGUAUAUUUUACAUCAUUUGACCUUGAGUCGUAUUGUUGUUACUCAAGCACUAUUUUCAUUUAAUCAGUUGGUUAAUUGCCCACAUGCUAUAAAUGAAUGAACCAUGCAGAAACAUUUGAGGAGUGAGUUGCAACCUAUACGGAUACAAUUUUGCACCUGCAUGAACAGUCGCAGUGCAUGCUGAAGCGCAUUCAACUUCCUUGAAGACAACAGUACCGAUCAUGCCCAGCCUGAAGAAAAGCACACAAUUACAGCCUGAGCCUUGCAACGAAGACUUCCAUGCUG